rnacentral:rRNA from 1 species
UACGGAGGAUGCAAGCGUUAUCCGGAAUUAUUGGGCGUAAAGCGUCUGUAGGUGGCUUUUUAAGUCUGCCGUCAAAUCCCAGGGCUUAACCCUGGACAGGCGGUGGAAACUACCAAGCUGGAGUACGGUAGGGGCAGAGGGAAUUUCCGGUGGAGCGGUGAAAUGCGCAGAUAUCAGGAGGAACACCGAUUGCGAAGGCAGCUCGCUGGGACGUCACUGACGCUGAGACGCGAAAGCGUGGGGAGCAAACAGG